rnacentral:rRNA from 1 species
CGCUGGCGGCGUGCUUAACACAUGCAAGUCGAACGAACAACGAUGGAACCUUGCUUCUAUCAAUCUUAGUGGCAAACGGGAGAGUAACGCGUAAUCCACCUGCCCUUCACAGGGGGACAACCGUUGGAAACGACUGCUAAUACCACAUACCAUCUAAUCUCGGGAUCUAGGAUAGAUGAAAGGUGGCCUCUACCUGUACGCUAUCACUGAACGAGGGGAUUGCGUCUGAUUAACUAAUUGGAGGGGUAACGGCCCAACAAGGCGAUGAUCAGUAACCGGGCUGAGACGAUGAACGGCCACAUUGCGACUGAGACUCCGCCCAGACUCCUACGGGAGGCAUCUUCGGGGAAUCUUCCGCAAUGGACGAAAGUCUGACGGAGCAACGCCGCGUGACUGAUGACCGCCUUCGUCUUGUAAAGCUCUGUAAAUCGGGACGAAAGGCCUUCUUGCACAAUAGAGAGAACGAUUGACGGUACCGCAAUAGAAAGCCACGGCUAACUACGUGCCAUCAGCCGCGGUAAUACGUAUGUGGCAAGCGUUGUCCGGAAUUAUUGCGCGUACAGCGCGCGCAGGCUGAUAUGUCAGUCUGUCUUACAACCUCGGAGCUUAACCCCGUGAUGGGAUGACAAACUGCCAAUCUAGAGAAUCGGAGAGCAAAGUGUAAUUCCUAGUGUAGCGGAGAAAUGCGUAGAUAGUAGGAAGAACAGCAGUGGAGAAGGCGACUUUCUGGACGAAAACUGACGAUGAGGCGCGAAAGGCAGGGGAGCGAACGGGAUUAGAUACCUCGUUAGUCCUGGCCGUAAACGAUGGGUACUAGGUGUAGGAGGUAUCGACCCAUUCUGUGCCGGAGUUAACGCAAUAAGUACCCCGCGUGGGGAGUUCGCCAGCAAGGUUGUAACUCAAAGGAAUUGACGGGGGCCCGCACAAGCGGUGGAGUAUGUGGUUUAAUUGGACGCAACGCGAAGAACCUUAGCAGGUCUUGACAUUGAUGGACAGAGCUAGAGAUAGUUCCUCUUUUUCGGAAGCCAGAAAACAGGUGGUGCACGGUUGUCGUCAGCUCGUGUCGUGAGAUGUUGGGUUAAGUCCCGCAACGAGCGCAACCCUUAUCUUAUGUUGCCAGCACUUCGGGUGGGAAUUCAUGAGAGACUGCCGCAGACAAUGGGGAGGAAGGGGGGGAGGAGGUCAAAUCUUCAUGCCCCUUAUGACUUGGGCUCCACACGUAUUCCAAUGGGAGUUAAUAGGCGGAAGCGAGAUCGCGAGAUGGAGCAUACCCGAGAAACACUCUCUCAGUUCGGAUCGUAGGGUGCAUCUCGCGUACGUGAAGUGGGAAUCGAUAGUAAUCGCAGGUCAGCAUACUGCGGUGAAUACGUUCCCGGGCCUUGUACACACCGCCCGUCACCCCACGAAAGUCGGAAGUGCCCAAAGCCGGUGGGGUACCCUUCGGGAGCCAGCCGUCUAAGGUAAAGUCGAUGAUUGGGGUG